UAGCUCGUUCCUUGCGGAUGUCGUAAUUUGAGAAGACGCCUACAGCUCUCACGAGCCCUGCAUUAGGAAAUCAGAAAUUCUACACACAAUUACAGUUUUGACGCUUCAUCGAACACUUGAGCCAAAUACAGGAAAUAUGUCAUGUAACACAAGUGCUCAAGAGGAAAGACUGCAAGUAUGGGUUUUCAGACAGGCAUUUUAAUGGCAGAGAAGCAAAGCAACUAACCCUUGUAGAUGCAGCAGCAGGGGCAGAAGCAGCAGAUGAUGAACACAAUAAUGUGGAACACAACCCCCA